rnacentral:rRNA from 1 species
UUGUAAGUGUCUAAGGGCGCAUGGUGGAUGCCUUGGCAUCGAGAGCCGAUGAAGGACGUGGGAGGCUGCGAUAUGCCUCGGGGAGCUGUCAACCGAGCGUGGAUCCGAGGAUUUCCGAAUGGGGAAACCCAGCACGAGUGAUGUCGUGCUACCCGCAUCUGAAUAUAUAGGGUGCGGGAGGGAACGCGGGGAAGUGAAACAUCUCAGUACCCGUAGGAGGAGAAAACAAUUGUGAUUCCGCAAGUAGUGGCGAGCGAACGCGGAACAGGCUAAACCGCACGCAUGGGUAACCGGGUAGGGGUUGUGUGUGCGGGGUUGUGGGAGGAUAUGUCUCAGCGCUACCCGGCUGAGAGGCAGUCAGAAAGUGUCGUGGUUAGCGGAAGUGGCCUGGGAUGGUCUGCCGUAGACGGUGAGAGCCCGGUACGCGAAAACCCGGCACCUGCCUAGUAUCAAUUCCCGAGUAGCAGCGGGCCCGUGGAAUCCGCUGUGAAUCCGCCGGGACCACCCGGUAAGCCUAAAUACUCCUCGAUGACCGAUAGCGGAUUAGUACCGUGAGGGAAUGGUGAAAAGUACCCCGGGAGGGGAGUGAAAGAGUACCUGAAACCGUGUGCCUACAAUCCGUCAGAGCCUCCUUUUCCUCUCCGGAGGAGGGUGGUGAUGGCGUGCCUUUUGAAGAAUGAGCCUGCGAGUCAGGGACAUGUCGCAAGGUUAACCCGUGUGGGGUAGCCGCAGCGAAAGCGAGUCUGAAUAGGGCGACCCACACGCGCAUACGCGCGUGUGAAUAGUGGCGUGUUCUGGACCCGAAGCGGAGUGAUCUACCCAUGGCCAGGGUGAAGCGCGGGUAAGACCGCGUGGAGGCCCGAACCCACUUAGGUUGAAGACUGAGGGGAUGAGCUGUGGGUAGGGGUGAAAGGCCAAUCAAACUCCGUGAUAGCUGGUUCUCCCCGAAAUGCAUUUAGGUGCAGCGUUGCGUGGUUCACCGCGGAGGUAGAGCUACUGGAUGGCCGAUGGGCCCUACUAGGUUACUGACGUCAGCCAAACUCCGAAUGCCGUGGUGUAAAGCGUGGCAGUGAGACGGCGGGGGAUAAGCUCCGUACGUCGAAAGGGAAACAGCCCAGAUCGCCGGCUAAGGCCCCCAAGCGUGUGCUAAGUGGGAAAGGAUGUGCAGUCGCAAAGACAACCAGGAGGUUGGCUUAGAAGCAGCCACCCUUGAAAGAGUGCGUAAUAGCUCACUGGUCAAGUGAUUGUGCGCCGAUAAUGUAGCGGGGCUCAAGCACACCGCCGAAGCCGCGGCACAUCCACCUUGUGGUGGGUGUGGGUAGGGGAGCGUCCCUCAUUCAGCGAAGCCACCGGGUGACCGGUGGUGGAGGGUGGGGGAGUGAGAAUGCAGGCAUGAGUAGCGACAAGGCAAGUGAGAACCUUGCCCGCCGAAAGACCAAGGGUUCCUGGGCCAGGCCAGUCCGCCCAGGGUGAGUCGGGACCUAAGGCGAGGCCGACAGGCGUAGUCGAUGGACAACGGGUUGAUAUUCCCGUACCCGUGUGUGGGCGCCCGUGACGAAUCAGCGGUACUAACCACCCAAAACCGGAUCGAUCACUCCCCUUCGGGGGUGUGGAGUUCUGGGGCUGCGUGGGAACUUCGCUGGUAGUAGUCAAGCGAAGGGGUGACGCAGGAAGGUAGCCGUACCAGUCAGUGGUAACACUGGGGCAAGCCGGUAGGGAGAGCGAUAGGCAAAUCCGUCGCUCACUAAUCCUGAGAGGUGACGCAUAGCCGGUUGAGGCGAAUUCGGUGAUCCUCUGCUGCCAAGAAAAGCCUCUAGCGAGCACACACACGGCCCGUACCCCAAACCGACACAGGUGGUCAGGUAGAGCAUACCAAGGCGUACGAGAUAACUAUGGUUAAGGAACUCGGCAAAAUGCCCCCGUAACUUCGGGAGAAGGGGGACCGGAAUAUCGUGAACACCCUUGCGGUGGGAGCGGGAUCCGGUCGCAGAAACCAGUGAGGAGCGACUGUUUACUAAAAACACAGGUCCGUGCGAAGUCGCAAGACGAUGUAUACGGACUGACGCCUGCCCGGUGCUGGAAGGUUAAGAGGACCCGUUAACCCGCAAGGGUGAAGCGGAGAAUUUAAGCCCCAGUAAACGGCGGUGGUAACUAUAACCAUCCUAAGGUAGCGAAAUUCCUUGUCGGGUAAGUUCCGACCUGCACGAAUGGCGUAACGACUUCUCAACUGUCUCAACCAUAGACUCGGCGAAAUUGCACUACGAGUAAAGAUGCUCGUUACGCGCGGCAGGACGAAAAGACCCCGGGACCUUCA